UUGCCAGUUCUUUCAAUUGAAUGUCAACGAGCUAGAUCGGAGAUCGGACAUUGUUUUCAUGUUACUGUUGAACGUUUCUUCUUUCUGACGCUAGACAGCCAUAGCUGUUGAUAAUUUUCCACUCAGUUUAAAUACGCUUACUUUGCACAUCUCUAAAGAAUUUUCUUAAUGCUACUUCAAAAAAAUUUUGGGAGAAAAUGUGAAAGGGGCAUGCAGCCUGCUGUCAACCAUUGUGUUGUAAAUCCUGGGAUCCUACUGAAUGUGUCAUCCAAAUCACAGAGGAUUCAUCAUAAUUAUCGACUGAUUUUAUUAGACUUGCUAGAUCACCAACCCCAGCAUGGCCAUCUUCUAGAGAACCUUGGAUAACUGAUUGGUAUUUUAGUGUGUUUCUAAUUUUGCAUGACAGACUUUAUGAGAAGUCAAUGUCCUUUGAAGAAAAAGGGCAAUAUUACAGUCAACAAGGUCCUUUAUUUGGUAACCAUUGGCUGCUACCCUUGAAUAUCCCUUUUUACUUCCUGAAACAGGCCCUCUUGAUUUGAGGGUAACUCCUUCGCUACUUAUCAAGGACUUCAUCCAUUGGUGAAAACUGAUAAGAAAAAGCUGUAAUUCAAGACUGAUGGUUGUCAGAUGUCUAAGCCGGAAGUCUACUAGGGUUAAUCGCUCUCGUAAUAACUGUUUCUCU
rnacentral:lncRNA from 1 species